AGUGAGCAACAGCAGCUCUGGCUCAGAAUUGCUUCAGCUGUUUGGGCUCUUUUUUGGUUUCCCGUGAAUUUUAGAAGUUUUUCCUAGUUCUGUGAAAAAUGACAUUAGUAGCUUGAUAAGAAUAGCGCUGAAUCUAUAGAUUACUUUGGGCAGUAUGACCAUUUUAAUGAUGUUGGUUCUUCUAAUCUAUGGGCAUGGAGUAUUUUUCCACUUGUUUGUAUCAUCGAUAAUUUAUUUCAACAGUGUUCUGAAGUUCUACUUGUAGAGAUCUUUCACCUCCGUGGUUAAAUUCCAAGCAUCUCCAAGCCUCUACCCCAAGUUAGCUCCAGGGAUUGGGAGCAACAAAGGGCUCUCCCUCAGCCUUGGAUCCCCAGUGGAAAGAAGAGUCAUAGAGGGAGGCUCUCUGCCUCUUUCACAUACUGGGGCUUCACUCACCUUAUCCGCCUGAUGCCAGCAUGGGGGCUUUUUGCCUGAAUUCUCCUUCCUGGGAUCUGAGGUGUCCUUCACAAUUCUUGUGGAUUUCCCAUUUUUCUUCUUAAAUUAAAGCUCACAGAGUUUAUCUUUAUGAAUUUCCAAGUGGCUAAGACAUGCUAAAAGCCUCUAAUUCACCAUCCUGGAAAAAGAGAUAUAAUAGUUUGAAAUACAAAGGUUAAUGCUGAAAAAUACACACA
rnacentral:lncRNA from 10 species